rnacentral:lncRNA from 1 species
CUGGCAGAGGAACUCGAUGUACAACCUGCAUCAGAUCCUGAACUGGUUCUAGCAUUGUCAGCGUCGAUAGUGCUUCCCAACAUGCCGUCUAUUGAAGGGGUGGCAAGUGAAGACGGAGCUGCCGUGGCACCAUCAAUAGCUCCAUCGAAUGAGGUUCGGGCCGAGGUGGAAACCAUGGUCGAACCUGAAUAGCCGACAGCUGCGCCAAUUGCUCCUUCAGCAGGAGUUGUUUCUUGGGUGCAAUCAAGUUCAAGUUUCUCCUCACUUUCGAAUGUGGGGCCACCGAUAGAAGACCGAAGAAAGACUCCGGUGACUUC